rnacentral:rRNA from 1 species
UACGUAGGGUGCGAGCGUUGUCCGGAAUUACUGGGCGUAAAGAGCUCGUAGGUGGUUUGUCGCGUUGUCCGUGAAAACUCACAACUCAAUUGUGGGCGUGCGGGCGAUACGGGCAGACUGGAGUACUGCAGGGGAGACUGGAAUUCCUGGUGUAGCGGUGGAAUGCGCAGAUAUCAGGAGGAACACCGGUGGCGAAGGCGGCGCUCUGGACCGAGACUGACGCUGAGGCGCGAAAGCGUGGGGAGCAAACAGG